GAUGAACGCUGGCGGCGUGCCUAAUACAUGCAAGUCGAGCGAACAGACGAGGAGCUUGCUCCUCUGACGUUAGCGGCGGACGGGUGAGUAACACGUGGAUAACCUACCUAUAAGACUGGGAUAACUUCGGGAAACCGGAGCUAAUACCGGAUAAUAUAUUGAACCGCAUGGUUCAAUAGUGAAAGACGGUUUUGCUGUCACUUAUAGAUGGAUCCGCGCCGCAUUAGCUAGUUGGUAAGGUAACGGCUUACCAAGGCAACGAUGCGUAGCCGACCUGAGAGAGUGAUCGGCCACACUGGAACUGAGACACGGUCCAGACUCCUACGGGAGGCAGCAGUAGGGAAUCGUACGCAAUGGGCGAAAGCCUGACGGAGCAACGCCGCGUGAGUGAUGAAGGUCUUCGGAUCGUAAAACUCUGUUAUUAGGGAAGAACAAAUGUGUAAGUAACUAUGCACGUCUUGACGGUACCUAAUCAGAAAGCCACGGCUAACUACGUG
rnacentral:rRNA from 1 species